AAGUCGUAACAAGGUUUCCGUAGGUGAACCUGCGGAAGGAUCAUUACAGAGUUCAUGCCCUCCGGGGCAGACCUCCCACCCUUUGUAUACAUUGCCUUUGUUGCUUUGGCGGGCCGCCGCAAGGCCACCGGCUCCGGCUGGUGCGCGCCCGCCAGAGAACCCCAAACCCUGUCUUACAGUGUCGUCCGAGUACUAUAUAAUAGUUAAAACUUUCAACAACGGAUCUCUUGGUUCUG
rnacentral:misc_RNA from 1 species